GACAGAGGGUGCAAACGUUGUUCGGAUUUACUGGGCGUAAAGCGUGUGUAGGCGGCUUGGCAAGUUGGAUGUGAAAUCCCCGCGGCUCAACCGUGGACGUGCAUCCAAAACUGCUUCGCUAGAGUCUCGGAGAGGAAGGUGGAAUGCUUGGUGUAGAGGUGAAAUUCGUAGAUAUCAAGCAGAACACCUGCGGCGAAGGCGGCCUUCUGGACGAUGACUGACGCUGAGACACGAAAGCGUGGGGAGCAAACAGG
rnacentral:rRNA from 1 species